GAUGAACGUUGGCGGUGUGCCUAAUACAUGCAAGUCGAACGGAGUCAGUAGCAAUAUUGGCUCAGUGGCGAACGGGUGAGUAACGCGUUGGUGAUCUGCCUUGAAGUGUGGAAUAACGUUUCGAAAGAGACGCUAAUACCGCAUGUGCUCUCGAUCUUCAGAAAGUUGAGAGUAAAGGAUUUAUUCGCUUCAAGAGGAGCCUGCGUCCCAUCAGCUGGUUGGUAGGGUAACGGCCUACCAAGGCUAUGACGGGUAGGGGACCUGAGAGGGUGGCCCCCCACAAUGGAACUGAAACACGGUCCAUACACCUACGGGUGGCAGCAGUAGGGAAUAUUAGAAAUGGACGAAAGUCUGAUCUAGCAACACCGCGUGUGCGAUGAAGGCCUUCGGGUCGUAAAGCACUUUUUGGAAGGAAUAGGAAGGAAUGUACUUCCAGAAUAAGUCUCGGCUAACUACGUG
rnacentral:rRNA from 1 species